rnacentral:rRNA from 1 species
UACAGAGGUCCCAAGCGUUGUUCGGAUUCACUGGGCGUAAAGGGUGCGUAGGCGGUCGGGUAAGUCUGAUGUGAAAUCUCACAGCUUAACUGUGAAACUGCAUUGGAUACUAUCCGGCUCGAGGAAUGGAGGGGAGACUGGAAUACUUGGUGUAGCAGUGAAAUGCGUAGAUAUCAAGUGGAACACCAGUGGCGAAGGCGAGUCUCUGGACAUUUCCUGACGCUGAGACGCGAAAGCCAGGGGAGCGAACGGG